rnacentral:rRNA from 1 species
UACGUAGGGCGCAAGCGUUGUCCGGAAUUAUUGGGCGUAAAGAGCUCGUAGGCGGUUUGUCGCGUCUGCUGUGAAAACUCGGGGCUUAACUCCGGGCCUGCAGUGGGUACGGGCAGACUAGAGUGCGGUAGGGGAGACUGGAAUUCCUGGUGUAGCGGUGAAAUGCGCAGAUAUCAGGAGGAACACCGGUGGCGAAGGCGGGUCUCUGGGCCGUAACUGACGCUGAGGAGCGAAAGCGUGGGGAGCGAACAGG